GAUGAACGCUGGCGGCGCGCCUAACACAUGCAAGUCGAACGGCACCCCUCUCCGGAGGGAAGCGAGUGGCGAACGGCUGAGUAACACGUGGAGAACCUGCCCCCUCCCCCGGGAUAGCCGCCCGAAAGGACGGGUAAUACCGGAUACCCCCGGGCGCCGCAUGGCGCCCGGGCUAAAGCCCCGACGGGAGGGGAUGGCUCCGCGGCCCAUCAGGUAGACGGCGGGGUGACGGCCCACCGUGCCGACAACGGGUAGCCGGGUUGAGAGACCGACCGGCCAGAUUGGGACUGAGACACGGCCCAGACUCCUACGGGAGGCAGCAGUGGGGAAUCUUGCGCAAUGGGGGGAACCCUGACGCAGCGACGCCGCGUGCGGGACGGAGGCCUUCGGGUCGUAAACCGCUUUCAGCAGGGAAGAGUCAAGACUGUACCUGCAGAAGAAGCCCCGGCUAACUACGUGCCAGCAGCCGCGGUAAUACGUAGGGGGUGAGCGUUAUCCGGAUUCAUUGGGCGUAAAGCGCGCGUAGGCGGCCCGGCGGGCCGGGGGUCGAAGCGGGGGGCUCAACCCCCCGAAGCCCCCGGAACCUCCGCGGCUUGGGUCCGGUAGGGGAGGGUGGAACACCCGGUGUAGCGGUGGAAUGCGCAGAUAUCGGGUGGAACACCGGUGGCGAAGGCGGCCCUCUGGGCCGAGACCGACGCUGAGGCGCGAAAGCUGGGGGAGCGAACAGGAUUAGAUACCCUGGUAGUCCCAGCCGU
rnacentral:rRNA from 1 species